ACUGUCCUCUUUGCUGUCAUUCGUUUGGUUCGUUGCUUCAUCGUUGUUUGUCCAUCCAUUGUGUGUUUCGCGUUGCGCUCUGCAUUUUUCAUUAAUAAUUUCGUUUAAGUUCAGUAUUUACAAUUUAUUUGCUUAUUCUAUAAUUUGAAGACGUUGGAAACAUAAUAAUUUAAUUACUAAGUGUUUUACAACGAUUUGUGUAGUGAUUAAAGUGAAUUUUUCGAACAGAAAUGCGGAAAAAUAUGUACAUAUAAUCGAAACAAGAGUUCCAGUAGAGGAAUCGCUUUAUUCAUCAGUAGGCGCAUCACUGGAUGAAAGUAUUUAUUGUGGAGAAAUGUGAAUCAAAUGAGCUAAAUGUGCAAAA